rnacentral:lncRNA from 1 species
AGAUGGAUCUCAAAAAAGAAAUCAAAACUGGCUCAGAUUUCCCAAGGAUUUCCAUAUCUAUAUACUAGAAGAUAAUUCAGACUUAUGCAUCUGAGAAGGAAUACCGCAGACUGGGCGAUUUAUGAAGAACAGAAAUGUAUUUUCUCACAGUUCUGGAGGCUGGCAAGUCUAAGAUCAAGGCAUCCAUAUCUGAUGAAGGCCUUGUUGCUGUGUCCUCACAUGGUAGAAGGCAGAAGGGGAAGAGGGAGAUCAAUCCUGUGUCUUCACAUGGCCGAAGAGAGCGAGAGAGUAAAGCCAUUCCUGCAAGCGUUUUUACAGUGGCAUUAAUCCCUUCAUGAGGUGGUAUGGUUUGGCUGUGUCCCCACCCAAAUCUCAUCUUGAAUUGUAGCUUGCAGAAUCCCAUGUGUCAUGGAAGGGACCUGGUGGGAGGUAACUGAAUUAUGGGGGUGGGUUUUUCCCAUGCUGUUCUCAUGAUAGUGAAUAAGUCUCAUGAGAUUUGAUGAUUUUAUAAAAGGCACUUCCCCGCACAAGCUCUCUUGCCUGCUGCCAUGUAAGAUGUGACUUUGCUCCACUCUGGCCUUUCACCAUGAUUGUGAGGCCUCCCCAG